rnacentral:rRNA from 1 species
GAUUAGAUACCCUGGUAGUCCACGCCGUAAACGUUGGGCGCUAGAUGUAGGGACCUUUCCACGGUUUCUGUGUCGUAGCUAACGCAUUAAGCGCCCCGCCUGGGGAGUACGGCCGCAAGGCUAAAACUCAAAGGAAUUGACGGGGGCCCGCACAAGCGGCGGAGCAUGCGGAUUAAUUCGAUGCAACGCGAAGAACCUUACCAAGGCUUGACAUACACCGGAAACGGCCAGAGAUGGUCGCCCCCUUGUGGUCGGUGUACAGGUGGUGCAUGGUUGUCGUCAGCUCGUGUCGUGAGAUGUUGGGUUAAGUCCCGCAACGAGCGCAACCCUCGUUCUAUGUUGCCAGCGCGUUAUGGCGGGGACUCAUAGGAGACUGCCGGGGUCAACUCGGAGGAAGGUGGGGAUGACGUCAAAUCAUCAUGCCCCUUAUGUCUUGGGCUUCACGCAUGCUACAAUGGCCGGUACAAAGGGCUGCGAUACCGUAAGGUGGAGCGAAUCCCAAAAAGCCGGUCUCAGUUCGGAUUGAGGUCUGCAACUCGACCUCAUGAAGUCGGAGUCGCUAGUAAUCGCAGAUCAGCAACGCUGCGGUGAAUACGUUCCCGGGCCUUGUACACACCGCCCGUCAAGUCAUGAAAGUCGGUAACACCCGAAGCCGGUGGCCUAACCCUUGNGGAAGGAG